rnacentral:lncRNA from 1 species
UCCUUUCUUCCUUUCUUCCUUGUUGUUUACUUCCUUCCUUAUUUAUCAAAUCUGUCUAUUUUUCUAAAUCAAUAUCCAUAAUUACCAUAAGGAGAGCCCAAAGAGUAAGGUAAAUCAAAAUUUACAUAGGCAAUCUGCCUUCCUUCCUUCCUUGUUGUACUUCCUUCCUUCCUUAUUUAUCAAAUCUGCCUUCCUUAUUCGUCCAUGCAUAUUACUCCUCUCUUUUCUUUUUAAAUGUGACUCAUUUUAUCAUUCAAAAUUUAGUGCAUUUUUAACAUUAACAUUUAACUCUCCUCUCUUCUUUGGUUUAGUUGACAAUUGACAAUUAAUUUCAUCAUCAAAUAUACUAUUAAAUGUGCUUUAGGGAUGGUGAGUCAAGAUCCUCUCACAUUUGUUCCAUUACCAAAAUUUUAGUGUAUAAAUGUCCUACUAAUAAUGUCUCCAAAUUUAGAAAUGUGUCCAUUUAUAUAAUUUAUAUACUUCAAGA